rnacentral:rRNA from 1 species
GACGAACGCUGGCGGCGUGCUUAACACAUGCAAGUCGAACGGAAAGGCCCUGCUUUUGUGGGGUGCUCGAGUGGCGAACGGGUGAGUAACACGUGAGUAACCUGCCCUUGACUUUGGGAUAACUUCAGGAAACUGGGGCUAAUACCGGAUAGGAGCUCCUGCUGCAUGGUGGGGGUUGGAAAGUUUCGGCGGUUGGGGAUGGACUCGCGGCUUAUCAGCUUGUGGGUGGGGUAGUGGCUUACCAAGGCUUUGACGGGUAGCCGGCCUGAGCGGGUGACCGGCCACAUUGAGACUGAGAUACGGCCCAGACUCCUACGGGAGGCAGCAGUGGGGAAUAUUGCACAAUGGGCGGAAGCCUGAUGCAGCAACGCCGCGUGCGGGAUGACGGCCUUCGGGUUGUAAACCGCUUUCGCCUGUGACGAAGCGUGAGUGACGGUAAUGGGUAAAGAAGCACCGGCUAACUACGUG